CGUGGACCCGUGAUCCGGGUUGCGGACAGUGUCUGGUGGGUAGUUUGACUGGGGCGGUCUCCUCCUAAAGAGUAACGGAGGAGCACGAAGGUUGGCUAAUCCUGGUCGGACAUCAGGAGGUUAGUGCAAUGGCAUAAGCCAGCUUGACUGCGAGCGUGACGGCGCGAGCAGGUGCGAAAGCAGGUCAUAGUGAUCCGGUGGUUCUGAAUGGAAGGGCCAUCGCUCAACGGAUAAAAGGUACUCCGGGGAUAACAGGCUGAUACCGCCCAAGAGUUCAUAUCGACGGCGGUGUUUGGCACCUCGAUGUCGGCUCAUCACAUCCUGGGGCUGAAGUAGGUCCCAAGGGUAUGGCUGUUCGCCAUUUAAAGUGGUACGCGAGCUGGGUUUAGAACGUCGUGAGACAGUUCGGUCCCUAUCUGCCGUGGGCGCUGGAGAACUGAGGGGGGCUGCUCCUAGUACGAGAGGACCGGAGUGGACGCAUCACUGGUGUUCGGGUUGUCAUGCCAAUGGCACUGCCCGGUAGCUAAAUGCGGAAGAGAUAAGUGCUGAAAGCAUCUAAGCACGAAACUUGCCCCGAGAUGAGUUCUCCCUGAGACUUAAAGUCUCCUGAAGGAACGUUGAAGACGACGACGUUGAUA
rnacentral:rRNA from 1 species